GGGUUGUGAGGUUAAGCGACUAAGCGUACACGGUGGAUGCCCUGGCAGUCAGAGGCGAUGAAGGACGUGCUAAUCUGCGAUAAGCGUCGGUAAGGUGAUAUGAACCGUUAUAACCGGCGAUUUCCGAAUGGGGAAACCCAGUGUGUUUCGACACACUAUCAUUAACUGAAUCCAUAGGUUAAUGAGGCGAACCGGGGGAACUGAAACAUCUAAGUACCCCGAGGAAAAGAAAUCAACCGAGAUUCCCCCAGUAGCGGCGAGCGAACGGGGAGGAGCCCAGAGCCUGAAUCAGUGUGUGUGUUAGUGGAAGCGUCUGGAAAGGCGCGCGAUACAGGGUGACAGCCCCGUACACAAAAAUGCACAUGCUGUGAGCUCGAUGAGUAGGGCGGGACACGUAGUAUCCUGUCUGAAUAUGGGGGGACCAUCCUCCAAGGCUAAAUACUCCUGACUGACCGAUAGUGAACCAGUACCGUGAGGGAAAGGCGAAAAGAACCCCGGCGAGGGGAGUGAAAAAGAACCUGAAACCGUGUACGUACAAGCAGUGGGAGCAUGCUUAGGCGUGUGACUGCGUACCUUUUGUAUAAUGGGUCAGCGACUUAUAUUCUGUAGCAAGGUUAACCGAAUAGGGGAGCCGAAGGGAAACCGAGUCUUAACUGGGCGUUAAGUUGCAGGGUAUAGACCCGAAACCCGGUGAUCUAGCCAUGGGCAGGUUGAAGGUUGGGUAACACUAACUGGAGGACCGAACCGACUAAUGUUGAAAAAUUAGCGGAUGACUUGUGGCUGGGGGUGAAAGGCCAAUCAAACCGGGAGAUAGCUGGUUCUCCCCGAAAGCUAUUUAGGUAGCGCCUCGUGAACU
rnacentral:rRNA from 1 species